rnacentral:lncRNA from 1 species
UUUCAACAGAAACUUUUACAUCUCUUGGAGAGACAUCUUCCACCCUGAAUCGUACAAAUAAAUUAAGAACAUCUUUUACUGGAGUCAGACAAAGUUGGACAACUUUUCCCAUUUACAGAGUACGUGACUAUGGAUAAAGUACUUAACCUCUCAGUGACUCGGUUUAAAAUGGAAAUAGCAAUGUUAUCUGCCUCUCAGGGCUGUUAUGAAGAUUCAAUGAGAUAAUGCUCAUGACAUGGAUAACCUUGGAUGUGGCUUUGUUUAAGCCCCGCAGAGACAUUGGCACUACUGCUGUGGUGGCUGCUGCUCUGUGUCCAAGGGCCUUUCAUUUUGUAUUUAAGGAUGGGGGAGAAGGAGUAGGUACAGGUGGGUGGUCAGCACCAGAAGCUUACACGUGACUAGUGUGUGUCUGUAAUAAAAAGGAAAAUAAGCCGUGAAUUGAAGAAAGAAGAUUAACAUUAAUGUUGUCUACAAAGGCCAGAAAACCAACAGAGAUUUACAACAACAACAACAGCAACAAGAAACCCUAGAAAAUAUUGAUUAGGUUCUGCAAAAGUAAAUAAAAAUAGUGUCAGUCAGCUAGCCGCUAAUUCUAAGCAGUCCUAUCCCCCAGCGUAGGACAGAAACGAUUCUGCAUAUCAUUAAUACAUAACAGAUUCAUUUUGCUGUAAGUUUAAUUUGAUUACUUCACUAAAUUCUGUUAUUAAUACUCAGCCUUCUGCUGCUCGUGUAGCAGGGCCCCCUGUUCAUGAUUUUUAGAAAUAAAAGGAUGUAUUUGCUCAAUAUCCACCCAGAAGGAAGGGACAUGAUGUCUCCCUACAGCUAGGAUGAGAACGGGCUACUGUGGAACGUGAAGGGGAGAAGGCACGGUGGGCGCUGCUCUGGGACAGAGAUGCUAAUGCCAACAGAGCCACUUCCCGCCAACCUAAGGUGGGGAGUGAUCCCCUCAUAUGCAUUUCACAGGUCCAGUCAGAUAACAAAAUCCUCUCCAAGUCCUUCCACAAACAGAAUUGAAUAAAAGAAAUGGGUUACAAAGGUGAUGAGUUGAGAUGGCAAAAAAUAAAACUUGGAAUAGCAGCAUCCAGUCACCACCAUGAAUCUAAGGGUGGAGUGGCAAGAGGAUGGGGUAGCCUUCAUUCCCAGAGCCCAAGAGCAGGAAACAAAACUGUGGGAGAGGGUGGCACAUGGUAGGUGUUAGAACCUCAGGGAGAGGUACUACUGACCAGUGUUAGAGCCAUGAGGAAGAUGCAGCUGCUGCCAGAUCUGCAGAUGGCUCCAAAGCUGAGCAAGAUGGAAAAACCUACCCUAUUUUUCCCUCUUCCAGCCUUGCAGCCUUCUGCCAAUGCCUCCCAUUGGCCAAAACUACCAGGAAGCCAGUCUUAAGGGAGCCUAGGAAAGGUAGUUUCCUAGGAUACAAGGCAAAAGCAGCGAAAGGAACAGAAUGGAGCUGAUGAAAGCAAACAGGCCAGCACAUCAUGUUUGAUUGAAACACUUUGUGAAAACUGACCUGUGGUUGGAUGUGAGUUAAGCUGAACACCCUUACCCAGGAAGCCCACAGAGAGCAGAAACAGCCAAGUCACACCCCAGACCCCUCAGUCUAGCCAAGUCAUGGAAGUCCCCACUGGUGAAAGACAAGGAACUCUGGGUUAAGGAGACUUUUUCUCUCCGCUCACUGUUCUCUGUUGUCUCCUCUCUGAAAACAACUAUGUGUUAAUUGAUGGUUAUCAGAGUUGAAAUAGAUAAUAACAUAUUCAUACAAUGCAAUCUAAUUUGCUUAAAUCAAUGGUCCUUUGUUUCGGAUUAUCCAUUCAAAGCUUUUCCUCAUCAUCCUUAAUAAUUGAAAGUUACACCUCAUGAUUCUCAGAAUAAUUAACUUCUUAGAUUUCUGACUUUACGACUAAUACAGCUUUGUAAUAAGAACAUGUUAGAUUUGUAUAGAUCUUUGCAGCUAUGGCUCCCAGUCACGUGCAUUAUCCCAUUUUGCUUUAUACUCUGAGGGUCUGAAGUGAGGGAGAGAGAACUAGCAUUUGUUGAAUAUUGAUGAUGUGCCAGGCACUGUGUCGAGAACUUUCCAAGGAUUAAUUCAGUUAAUCAUCACAACACCCCAAUGAGGCUGAUAUUAUUAUUCCCAUCUUACAGACGAGGCAACUCACUUGCAGGGAACUGUUCUGUUUAAGAUCACACAGCCAAGUCCAGGACCCUAUCAGAGUAAAAAACUUACACCCACACACGCCCCUAUCACACAC